CCCUGCGUCAGCUCGCGGGCGUCGCUCCCCUUCUCUCUGUGGACCCUGAGCUGCCUGGCAGCCCGUGGGGAGGAGCCUGCUGCAGACCCCAGCCCUCCUUGCUGCCUCUCUGCAGACGCACAGGCGCUACCUCCUCUCUGCGGAGUGCUCGGCCCCCACAGGACAGGCUAGAUUGGAUGCCACUUUUGGUGACAGGUUGGGGAGGCAGCUGGGUUUGAUGCAGACUGACAGCCCUCCCCUGCCCUGAGUUGUGCGGAACCGUCUUUGCAGCUCCGGAGCCAUCCGAUGGUAUUGAUCCUGGUGUGGAAAUUGGUAUUGACUGCAGCUGCUGCUCUGCGCACUUCCCCGGCUCUUAAAGACACAGCGUAGAGGACUUGUGUGGUCAAUCUGUGCUGGUCAGCUGUCCAUCACUGAGGAAUACCUGAAGGAAUCAACUUAAAGGAGGAAAGAUGGACUGGGCUCCUGGUUCCAGAGGUUCCGAGCGUGGCCCGCUGGCUCCCUUGUUCCUGGGUCGUGGUGGAAGAGACUGCCCACCUCCCCACAGCCUGACAGCAGACAGGGAGGGCUGGGGACGAAGCUCACCUUCAAAGGCACACCCGCAGUGACCUCCCAGGAGCCUCCUGACUUACGGCUGCACCAGGGAGGAGUCAGCCCGCACCUGUCACCUUCCCGACUCCCCACCUCUGAGGAGCGCCUCAGGACCAGCCAGCACCUGAGCUUUCGGGACGUGCCAGCCCCAGACCAUGACUGUCUUGUUGAGCACAAUGGCACAGGACAGUCCCCGUCGAGGUCCUUCAGUUGAGGUCUAGGCAGGCCUUUCCUUGUGAGGGGCACCUUCCCAGGCCGCGGGGAUCAGGAGGUGCACACACUGGCACCAGCCAGUGCUCUGCCCCUGAAGCCAUGGUGUCUGCGACUCUCGGCUGCUCCAGGAGAGCCUAGGAGAGUUAGAGAGAGGCUGGCGUUUGACUUUAAUAACGGGCAGCAGUGUCACUCACGGAUGGCGUGUUCACAGAGCGGGUCACCCGUCCAGCCACCCAGGACGCCCUGUUCUAAGUCAGAGGCCGUCCCCAGGCUCACCCGCGGGCAUGCGUCUCUGAUCCCACUCGGCGGCCGCCGUGAACACGAGAGUCUGGGUGCUCCAGACACCCGCAGGUGAGCGCGGAGAGAAACACGGAGAAUGGCACAAGGAGAGCCACGUGCUGUGUGGCCUGCCCAGGGGGACUCAGCCGCGGGCAGGUGGGGAAGCUGCUGAAGGGGACCUAGGACAGGCCAUCUACGGCCCCGUCCCACGUGGCAGACAGAGCACAGAGGCAGGUGUGAAGGGCCUGGUCCCAGUCCACUCGCACCUCGAGAGCUGCUCCCCACAGGACAUCAGGUGCCCGUGCUUGACUCCUGAGACGUUCUGCCUCUUCCUGAGGGGACCAUGAUGCUGUGGCCUCUGUCCUAGAGAGGCCAUUUCCCUGAGGCUUCAGCCUAUGGGCCACCUGUCACCUGCUCUCAGUCACUGCAGGCAAAGGACCUGGCAGAGUCCUGUCGGCCUCCAUGGCUAAGGGAGACCUUGGGCUGAGCUGUGGGGAGGGCCAGGAGGGCAGCCCUCCAGACAGGGAGGGAAGGCGAGGCCUCAUGAAUACUUAACCAGACACAAGUAAGUAUUAAUGAAACAAUGUAUCUCUAAGUGCUUAGAUUACCUUCCAUGCUCCAGUCCAUCUUUAUUUCACCUUGGCUUAUGCAUGCCUGUGCGUGCACACCCAUGCAUGAACACACACACACACACACACACACACACACACAAACACGCAGACACACAGAUUAGACAUUUUUUAUACAUCUGCUCUGAUAAUUACUUAAUGUGAUAAUCCCCAUUUAGCUUAAUCUAACCCUUUCCAAGUUUAUUCCUGAAGCUGCAGAAGUGUGAUUCUCCCGUGAAAUUGCUGGGAUCCCACCAAGGCCCGAGCCUCGUCUGGGCUGCUUCCAUGGUGCAGAGCCGUGAGCGGAGGGAAAGCAGGGAGCUGAAUUCGAGCUCACGUGUGGCAGCGGCUCUGUUCUGCAUGCAGUUGCUCCCAAUUCUCCAAAUGAGCGCUGGGCUUGCUCUCCCAGAACAAUGAGGGCUCUCCUCCCUCCCACAAGGGCCCGGAGCUGCCCAGGGAGCGUUUCCGGACCCUCUUGGUGAACUUUCAGCCCGCUAUCAGCGAGUUUCUGCUGCUGCUCUGCAGGACCAUUGCCUUAUCAGUGUCACACUGUGUCCAUCCACAUUGACUCCUUCCAUUUGUGUGGUCUGUUGUUCUUCUUUUAUCCACUACAAAGUCUUCUCUCUUUAAUGCUCCUGCUUUUGCCCUGCACUUUGGUUCCAUAACUUAUUUUUCAGUUCCUGAAUUCUGGAUUUGCAUUCUGCAUGGCUUUGUUCAGCCCCUUCCAGGAGCACUGAGAUGCCAAAGCCCCUUGCUUGCCCCUUCCCUGCUUGCCACGUGGCCUCGGCAUUGGCUUUCCACCAUGUAAGUGCACUGCUUUUCCACAGUCAAGUAAAUAGAAGUCUCUGACCUCCUUGGGGUCCCCCCACCCCAUGCUCUGCUGAGACCACCUGUAGCCCAGCCGUGGUGGAAGAAUUGAGCCACUGAGGCGAAGCCACUCCUCAGGGAAACCCAGCCAUCUUAAAGCCAAUGCUAAUGAUCCUUUGAUUUUCUCUGCAAAGAAGAGCAUUUGGAAGGAGAAGAUGUGUGGCCCUGUGUGCGUCAGAGUGCAUUCUAGAAGGCAGGAAGGAGGAGGAAAGCACCUGACUCACUUUCCCACCUGCAUAAAAGCCACACCCCAGCUCAGUCCUGGACCUGUGGCCAUUGCCUCUGCCUGUCCCCAUGGACAUGACGUCCUUCCUAAGCCAAGCUGCUGGAGCCGCAGUGCACCAAUGGGCAGUGCAGGGGAUCAGAACAUUUAAAGUCAGGCACUUUCUUCAGCCCAGCUGGACACAGAGGUCUCCUGUAGGAAGCUGGUAAGUGGGAAGUCUUUGGUGGAGGACAUGGCUGCUGACCAGACAGAAUCAAGAGUCAGUCCUGCAGAUCUGAGAAUCUGAACAGGGAAGUCAGCGUGCUCACACAGAAGCGUGUACAGGCAGAGUUAGCUUUCAGAACAGAAUCCUGGCUCCUGGUUUCUGGACGAACCCCCCCCCCUUGCUCGUUGAGUAGCCUCACAGUCCUGAGUGGGUCUGUCUUCAGUUGUAGGGUUCUUCAUGUGCACAGCUCCUCGUACCCUCUCUCUGAGCCUCGUGUCCCUGGUUGCAACCUCCUGGCUCUGCACCUGCUCUGUGCUCACAUGCCACCAGUGCCUCUGUGACAUAAGAGGUUUCCUAAACACUUCCUUUGACCUUAAACAGGAAAUUACAUUUGAUUUUAGAAAUGCAGGAGGAAAACUGAUAAAUAAGCCUGUGCCCCAUCUUCUAAUAAAAUAGAUAUUUAACCCUUGGGGAAGAGUAAUAAGAAAACUAUCUCUGAGUGUAUAUUUGCUCAAUGAGAAUGAAGAGCUCCUGGCUGAGCCCUGCAAUGGCCCUUCGUCUUUGACAGACACCUGGCCUGUCAUCCUUGCCACCUCGGCCUUGCCACAUGCUACGUUAAAAUCACUCCUGAGUGGCUUAGCCAUUAACUCAUGCAUCAACCACCAGCUACAGGCCUGCGUCAGGUGACGCAGAGCCAAUAAAGCUCAGCCCUGGAGCACCAGGGGCUGCCAACUCACGCUGGGUCGCGAGACUCCAGUAUCUAAUCGUGGUGAGCACCACCAAUCUAAUAAUCCCACGGGAAGGAGCCUCCCAGGGAGGCAGAGAGCAGCUCACUGUGUCCUGGGGGAGAAAGCAGAGCCCAGGAGCCUCCCCUGGGAGCUGAGGCUGGAGUCAGGCUGGGUGGCGUGUCCCCAGCACCCGGCCGAGGGUGCAGAGUGGCGUGUCCCCAGCACCCGGCCGAGGGUGCAGAGUGGCGUGUCCCCAGCACCUGGCCGAGGGUGCCGAGCAGGAAGCCACCGACAAGGAGGCCAGAUGGAAGCGCAUCUUACCUUCCCCGAUUCUACAACAAUGCGGAGGAGUUCUAACUCAGAAAGCAGCAUUCAGAGCUGCUUGAGAAAGAUCUCCUGGCUGCGCUGUCAAGGGGGGAUUGGGGAGCAGGGGAGGUGGGAUAAGGGCCCAGGGACACUUCUAGUCUUGACUUGAAACACUUCAGAGAAUAAACGCAUUUAUUCUAGAGACAUUAUUACAGCUAUGAAAAGAAGGUGGUCAAGGAAAAUGCUCAUGUGCUGGCUUGGAUGACUGGGUAGAGGGCCAAACCCUCAGAAAUUAAGAAAUCAAAGGAGAAAGCCAUUUCUACAGGUAGUUAUGAGGAGCGGUGGAGAAAGUGUAGGAAAAGGAGGGUGUUUCUCAGUUGAUUUCUGUAGAAAUGCGUCUGCAUGUUCCCCUUGAGAUGGGCAGAAGUCCUGGUCCUCACCUUGGUAGAUGUGCUCCAACACAGCAGGCGAGGCCCAGGGAAGCAGGGUCAGCCUGUGGGGAGGGAGCCAUUCCCUGCAGCCCAGAGAGGCCGCUCUGCGUGCAGAUCACAGGAAAUCAGAAUGUGGGGAACUGGACUGAGGCGCUUGGAAGAAAUUAAGCUAGAGAGAUGAAGUCCCUUAAAUGUCCUCUGCACCAGCUGACGGCCCACAAUCCCAGAACUCGGGGGGCUGAGGCAGGAGAAUGCAGGUUGAGGCCAGCCUGGGCACCUAGCGAGACCCUGUCUCAAAAGAAAAUAUGAAAAGUGCUGGGAUGUGGCUCAGGGGUCUAGCACCCCUGGCCUGGAUCUCCUGUACUCCCGGAACUCCUGUGGGUGACAGCAGGACGGGCCUGAGAGUCUGGGUGCAGUGGAGCACCCAGGCAGCACUGAGGAGGGACGAGGGGCCGGCCAAGGGACAGUGGUGGACGGAGAAAGCCCAUCUGUCUUACAGGACAGCCUUGAGGACCAACGAGGUAGGAGAGGUCAGAUGCGUGGCGUGCGCGGCCAUCCCAGUGUGCUCCGCGGGCCUCUGUCGCAAAGGCUGCGCUCAGGCCUGUCACUUUGGUUGUGUCAGCACUUGUACUUUCUGCUAAGCAGACUCCACUUUAUAUAAUCCCUUCAAAGUCACUCGUUAAGUCUCAAGUUUGUCACAGGAAGCAGCAGCCCCAGCGACCAAGCCUGGUGUCCAGGCCUCAAAACUGCUGGUCCUGCCUCGCAGGGGCCAACACCCCGUCUCAUUCCAAGGCUCCAGUUCCUGUUCAAGGCAUAAUUUAUGACAAAACUGAAUCUUGUUCUUAAUAUUUACCUAAUUAAAAGAUGACUUAGGAUCCUU